rnacentral:rRNA from 1 species
AUUGAACGCUGGCGGCAGGCCUAACACAUGCAAGUCGAACGAGUGGCGGACUGGUUAGUACUGUCUUGGAAACUGCCCGAUGGCGGGGGAUAACUACUGGAAACGGUAGCUCAUACCGCAUACCAUCUUAUGUUCCCAGAUGGGAUUAGCUAGUUGGUGGGGUAACGGCUCACCGAGGCGACGAUCCCUAGCUGGUCUGAGAGGAUGACCAGACACACGGGAACGCAGACACGUUCCAGAUGCCUACGUGGGGACGCAGUGGGGAAUAUGGCACACUGGGCGAAAGCCUGAUGCAGCGAUGCCGCGUGUAUGAAGAAGGCCUUCGGGUUGUAAAGUACUUUCAGCGAGGAGGCGUUACCCGCAGAAGAAGCACCGGCUAACUCCGUGCCAGCAGCCGCGGUAAUAC